UGGGGAAUUUUGCACAAUGGGCGAAAGCCUGAUGCAGCGACGCCGCGUGCGGGAAGAAGGCCUUCGGGUUGUAAACCGCUUUCAACAGGGAAGAAGGAAUGAGAGUUAAUACCUCUCUGCCUUGACGGUACCUGUAGAAGAAGCACCGGCUAAUUUCGUGCCAGCAGCCGCGGUAAUACGAAAGGUGCAAGCGUUGUUCGGAUUUACUGGGCGUAAAGAGAUCGUAGGUGGCUUGUUAAGUCGGAUGUGAAAUCCCGGGGCUCAACCCCGGAACUGCAUCCGAUACUGGCAGGCUUGAGUUUGGGAGGGGUAAGCGGAAUUCCGUGUGUAGCAGUGAAAUGCGUAGAUAUACGGAGGAACACCUGAGGCGAAGGCGGCUUACUGGACCAAUACUGACACUGAGGAUCGAAAGCGUGGGUAGCAAACA
rnacentral:rRNA from 1 species